UGGCAGUGCACUACUAGCUGGCUGUUGAGAUAUAUUCAUUUUUACAGUGGUUAGUUGCACUCCACA
rnacentral:pre_miRNA from 1 species